rnacentral:rRNA from 1 species
GACACUAGUUGAAAGGAGGACUGGUGUUCGCUAGUGCCUGUAGAGAACACGUGCGUUCGGCGAAAGAGCGGAUCACACACGACAUAUGCUCUGCUAUGCAUGCAUGGUGGUGACAUCAUUCAUGAUGCAUGCAUGACGUAGGUAAAAGAGUAAAGGCCGGCCGGAGGGUGUCUGUACCGUCUGCUGCGCCCCGGACCGCCGCUCCGGUUCAUGGGCGAGUUGGGCCUAACGAUGGCGGACGAGACGUUCUAGCCCUCGCCGCAGUCGCGGCAGCACAUGUUCCGGCGCACGGACGGCGAGCCGAGGCACGGCCACCGGUAGUUCCGGUAGCUGGAGCUCGCGAGGGCGCGGUUGGACCUCCUGCACACCGCCCUCCGGUUCCGGUACCGCGAGGACAGCGUGCGGUUGCAGGACGCGCGCGUGACGAGGAAGUGGCACCCGUCGGUGGACACCCACCAGUACGGCAAGUACCGGCGGCCGAGAGACGUGAGGUAGGACCGGGUGCCGAAGGGGCUGCCGGAGGGCCUCGGCACGUAGCGCCACCACGAGUUCCUCUGCGAGGCACGCGAGACGAUGGAAGUGCUCGUCCCGGCGUAGGUGGCGCUGUAGUUCCGGCCCUUGCAGGAGCAGCUGAGGCUGCCGAGGCAGUUCGAGCGGCUGAAGCCGCACAGGCGCAGGUAUAUGCUCUGGGGCGGCGGCCGCAGCAGGAAGAGGCCCGGGGACUGGGUGCGGGGGGUCCAACAGGAGUCGAGAAGAAGGAUGAAGUCGCUCUACCGUCCCUGCGGCAUGACCUACCGCGGCCUCCAGUAGGUGAGCGUGCAGCCGAUGCCGUAGUUCCGGCUGUAGACCAGCAAGCCGUAGUGCCGGGACCUCGAGCGCGUGCCGGCCGGCGGGGAGAGGGUGGACGGCGGCAGGUUCAGCUACGACUACUCCUAGUGCUCGGCGCAGGCCUACCUCCUGCGCCUCUAGAGGUUCUUGUUCUUCGAUAGGUUCCGCAAGUUCCUGUACCACAGGAGGACGGACACGGUUCUCGGCCGGUUCGCCGGCAGCCGCCUCUUCGAAGAGGCCGUGGGCAAGAAGUUUCCGACGGCGAGGUUCCUGAUGGAGCAGGCGUUGCAGGAGUCGCAGCACGGCUCGUAGCUCCUCGCGACGUUCCUGCAGUGCCCGGAGACGCCGACGCGGCGGCCCCCGCGCGCGACGCACAGCGGCACGGUGCCGGUCCGCUCGCGCUCGUAGCAGUUCUUGGCGGCGUACUCGCCGACCUUGAAGCCGCGCCUGACGGGCUCCUUCCUUCUGCGCCUGUCGAAACUCCUAGAGCUGGUCUGACUCUGCCAUCGUGCCGACAAGGAAGGUGAGCUGCUGCUCCUGUGCCACGGGCUCGCCCGGACGCUGCCCCGGCCUCUUCUACCUCUGUUCCCUUGUUACCUCGUCGUUCCACUAGCUCUCCUUUUGCUCCCUAGCAAGCCGCACUUUCCCCACCACCACGGCGUAGACUACUGAUAGAACCCUUCGGAGCUCCACGUCUUCUCCUACGACCGGGUUCUUGACCUUCCACCGACGACGAUAGUGGUGCUGCCGUUGACGACGGCGCUCUGCUGCCGGUCCCUCCUCUACGAUGAGCGCAUGCACGCAGUCGAGCUCGUCUCCCACCUCCACGACUGGAACCUCCAGCUCCUCCUUUAGCGGUCCUUACGGGUGGACCUCCUCGAAGAAGCACUCUCCCGACCAACUAUGAGAACGCCCGUCGGCGUGUACAUACGCAGGUAAGCCAAACGCCUACGCACGAGCACAUAAACUUAACAAGUUCUAUGUGUUACCGUAGGUGCAUCAUCCUGCAUUGUGGGUUCUUCAUGGUUAUACAUCGCCGCUCUACGUUUAAUAAUUGUCGUUGAACUGCGUCUCCCUACAAUACGUCGCCGUGGCCAGCGUAACGUACAUCGACGACCCUAACGCCUUUUCACUACCGCC